AUUGAACGCUGGCGGCAUGCCUUACACAUGCAAGUCGAACGCGAAAAGGGGGCAACCCCUGAGUAGAGUGGCGAACGGGUGAGUAAUACAUCGGAACGUGUCCAGUAGCGGGGGAUAACCUCUCGAAAGAGAGGCUAAUACCGCAUACGACCUACGGGUGAAAGAGGGGGAUCGCAAGACCGUCUCACUAUUGGAGCGGCCGAUGUCGGAUUAGCUAGUUGGCGGGGUAACGGCCCACCAAGGCUACGAUCCGUAGCUGGUCUGAGAGGACGACCAGCCACA
rnacentral:rRNA from 1 species